CCUGGCUGUGCUGGCCCUGACUGAGAGGAGGGGGUUUCCACUUCCGUCACCUGGCAAGGGAACCUCCACAGCCCAAGAAUAUUAACAUUUAUCAGGUGCCGGGCAUGGGCCUCAUGUGUUUUAUGUAAUUCAAUCCUCCCAACAAAAGUAUGAGAGCCAGCCCUGCAGCACAGCCUUCAACAUGAGCAACUCCUGCUCUCUGUAGCUCCAGCCCCAGCCUGGACCUAUCUUUCAGAGCCAUAAUGCUGAGACAGUCCC
rnacentral:lncRNA from 10 species